rnacentral:rRNA from 1 species
AGCUGGUUGGUGGGGUAACGGCCCACCAAGGCGACGAUCCAUAGCCGGCCUGAGAGGGUGAACGGCCACAUUGGGACUGAGACACGGCCCAGACUCCUACGGGAGGCAGCAGUGGGGAAUAUUGCACAAUGGGGGAAACCCUGAUGCAGCGAUGCCGCGUGGAGGAAGAAGGUUUUCGGAUUGUAAACUCCUGUCGUAAGGGAAGAGAAAGGACUGUACCUUACAAGAAAGCUCCGGCUAACUACGUGCCAGCAGCCGCGGUAAUACGUAGGGAGCGAGCGUUGUCCGGAAUGACUGGGUGUAAAGGGAGCGUAGGCGGGAUGGCAAGUCAGAUGUGAAACCUGAGGGCUCAACCUUCAGACUGCAUUUGAAACUGCUGUUCUUGAGUGAAGUAGAGGUAAGCGGAAUUCCUGGUGUAGCGGUGAAAUGCGUAGAGAUCAGGAGGAACAUCGGUGGCGAAGGCGGCUUACUGGGCUUUUACUGACGCUGAGGCUCGAAAGCGUGGGGAGCAAACAGGAUUAGAUACCCUGGUAGUCCACGCUGUAAACGAUGAUUACUAGGUGUGGGGGGAUUGACCCCUUCCGUGCCGCAGUUAACACAAUAAGUAAUCCACCUGGGGAGUACGACCGCAAGGUUGAAACUCAAAGGAAUUGACGGGGGCCCGCACAAGCAGUGGAGUAUGUGGUUUAAUUCGAAGCAACGCGAAGAACCUUACCAGGUCUUGACAUCGAGUGACGUAUCCAGAGAUGGAUAUUUCCUUCGGGACACAAAGACAGGUGGUGCAUGGUUGUCGUCAGCUCGCGUCGUGAGAUGUUGGGUUAAGUCCCGCAACGAGCGCAACCCUUAUCAUUAGUUGCUACGCAAGAGCACUCUAAUGAGACUGCCGUUGACAAAACGGAGGAAGGUGGGGAUGACGUCAAAUCAUCAUGCCCCUUAUGACCUGGGCUACACACGUACUACAAUGGCGAUCGAACAGAGGGAAGCAAGACAGCGAUGUGGAGCCAAUCCCAAAAAAUCGCCCCAGUUCAGAUUGCAGGCUGCAACUCGCCUGCAUGAAGUCGGAAUUGCUAGUAAUCGCAGAUCAGCAUGCUGCGGCGAAUACGUUCCCGGGCCUUGUACACACCGCCCGUCACACCAUGGGAGUCGGUAACACCCAAAGCCGGUCGUCUAACCUUCGGGAGGACGCCGUCUAAGGUGGGAUUGAUGACUGGGGUGAAGUCGUAACAAGGUAGCCGUAUCGGAAGGUGCGGCUG